rnacentral:miRNA from 1 species
AAUGGAAGGGUAGGAAAGAAG